rnacentral:piRNA from 1 species
UAAAUGUGUGCUUGAGAACAGUGAUCCCAC